rnacentral:rRNA from 1 species
UACGAGGGGGGCAAGCGUUGUUCGGAAUUAUUGGGCGUAAAGGGUGCGUAGGCGGUUUGGUAAGUCUUAUGUGAAAUCUACAGGCUCAACUUGUAGUCUGCAUGAGAAACUGCCGGGCUUGAGUAUGGGAGAGGUGAGUGGAAUUCCUGGUGUAGCGGUGAAAUGCGUAGAUAUCAGGAAGAACACCCGUGGCGAAGGCGGUUCUCUGGGACGGUACUGACGCUGAGACGCGAAAGCGUGGGGAGCGAACAGG